rnacentral:rRNA from 1 species
GACGAACGCUGGCGGCGUGCUUAACACAUGCAAGUCGAACGGUAAGGCCCUUUUGGGGGUACACGAGUGGCGAACGGGUGAGUAACACGUGGGUGAUCUGCCCUGCACUUUGGGAUAAGCCUGGGAAACUGGGUCUAAUACCGAAUAUUCCUUGCUGGUCGCAUGGCCUGGUGGGGGAAAGCUUUUGCGGUGUGGGAUGGGCCCGCGGCCUAUCAGCUUGUUGGUGGGGUGAUGGCCUACCAAGGCGACGACGGGUAGCCGGCCUGAGAGGGGGUCCGGCCACACUGGGACUGAGAUACGGCCCAGACUCCUACGGGAGGCAGCAGUGGGGAAUAUUGCACAAUGGGCGCAAGCCGGAUGCAGCGACGCCGCGUGAGGGAUGACGGCCUUCGGGUUGUAAACCUCUUUCAAUAGGGACGAAGCGUGAGUGACGGUACCUAGAGAAGAAGCACCGGCCAACUACGUGCCAGCCGCCGCGGUAACAC